UAGAAGACGCGGGAUUUCACAGACAUGUCCCGCCUUCCUCAUUAUUAUUACUGAUAGGAGAGGAUAGUGGACCGAGAGUGAAUCAAUGGAGCCACCGGCCUGUUAAACAACAUUUUUAACUUUUCCACCGCUGCCACAUCAAUGUCAGAAAUGUGGAUUCAAACCCGACAGCCCGACAGGAGUCUAAACGCGGCCGCUGAGGAGGAAAUGCGGUGAAGCUUUAUAUCCGAAUCAUCAGUGAUGCGACCUCCAUAUCAGCCUCAACCACAGAGAACAGAGGCUUCAGAGUCAGGGAGGAGGAUUGAACUUUUGAUGGCAUGUGGAAACAAACUGGUUUCACCAAAGUUGCACGAGGGCCAGAAACUAAAUGGCUUUAUGAUUCACAAGAUAUUUACAUCAAAGGAAGUGUACAUUAUACCAUAACGCUUUCCGUUUGACACCACAGAUUUAGAGGACAGUGGUGUGGAGGUUGACACGACAACAGCAUCUACUGACCACAAGUACCAAUGGCAGUCACACCAUCAUUGUAUGACUACAAGGGCUAAGGAUACCUUAAUCCACCUGAGUGACAGAUUAUUUGACAGAGACUGUUCUGAAAUAUUUGGUUUCUGCAUGCAACAAUAAAUAAGAAACAUUUGUUUG